rnacentral:rRNA from 1 species
AACGAACGCUGGCGGCAGGCCUAACACAUGCAAGUCGAACGAAGUCUUCGGACUUAGUGGCGCACGGGUGAGUAACACGUGGGAAUAUACCUUUCGCUGGGGGAUAACAUCGGGAAACUGAUGCUAAUACCGCAUACGCCCUUCGGGGGAAAGAUUUAUCGGCGAAAGAUUAGCCCGCGUCCGAUUAGCUAGUUGGUGAGGUAAUGGCUCACCAAGGCUACGAUCGGUAGCUGGUCUGAGAGGAUGACCAGCCACACUGGGACUGAGACACGGCCCAGACUCCUACGGGAGGCAGCAGUGGGGAAUAUUGGACAAUGGGCGCAAGCCUGAUCCAGCCAUGCCGCGUGAGUGAUGAAGGCCUUAGGGUUGUAAAGCUCUUUCGACGGGGACGAUGAUGACGGUACCAGUAGAAGAAGCCCCGGCUAACUUCGUG